rnacentral:rRNA from 1 species
AUUGAACGCUGGCGGCAUGCCUUACACAUGCAAGUCGAACGGUAACAGGUCUUCGGAUGCUGACGAGUGGCGAACGGGUGAGUAAUACAUCGGAACGUGCCUAGUAGUGGGGGAUAACUACUCGAAAGAGUGGCUAAUACCGCAUGAGAUCUACGGAUGAAAGCAGGGGAUCGCAAGACCUUGUGCUACUAGAGCGGCCGAUGGCAGAUUAGGUAGUUGGUGGGAUAAAAGCUUACCAAGCCGACGAUCUGUAGCUGGUCUGAGAGGACGAUCAGCCACACUGGGACUGAGACACGGCCCAGACUCCGACGGGAGGCAGCAGUGGGGAAUUUUGGACAAUGGGCGCAAGCCUGAUCCAGCAAUGCCGCGUGCAGGAUGAAGGCCUUCGGGUUGUAAAGCACUUUUAGUGGGGAUGAAAAGCACAUUGCUAAUACCAGUGUGUCUUGACCUAACCCAAAGAAAAAGCACCGGCUAACUCUGUGCCAGCAGCCGCGGUAAGAC